AUUCCAGCUCCAAUAGCGUAUAUUAAAGUUGUUGUGGUUAAAAAGCUCGUAGUUGGAUCUCGGCGGUCUGAGGGCGGUUCGCUUCAGAGCGCUACUGCCCUAUAGACCGUAGUUUUGCCAGAGGUCUCAGGGUGCUCUUAACCGAGUGUCUUGCGAUGCUGGCAGGUUUACUUUGAAAAAAUUAGAGUGCUCAAAGCAGGCUUUUACGCCUGAAUAUUCGUGCAUGGAAUAAUAGAAUAGGACUUUGGUUCCAUUUUGUUGGUUUCUAGGACCAAAGUAAUGAUUAAUAGGGACAGUUGGGGGCAUUCAUAUUCCAUUGUCAGAGGUGAAAUUCUUGGAUUAACGGAAGAUGAACUUCUGCGAAAGCAUCUGCCAAGGAUGUUUUCAUUA
rnacentral:rRNA from 1 species